GAUGAAGAACGCAGCGAAAUGCGAUAAGUAAUGUGAAUUGCAGAAUUCAGUGAAUCAUCGAAUCUUUGAACGCACAUUGCGCCCGCCAGUAUUCUGGCGGGCAUGCCUGUCUGAGCGUCAUUUCAACCCUCAUGCCCCUAGGGCGUGGUGUUGGGGAUCGGCCAGAGCCCGCGAGGGACGGCCGGCCCCUAAAUCUAGUGGCGGACCCGUCGUGGCCUCCUCUGCGAAGUAGUGAUAUUCCGCAUCGGAGAGCGAUGAGCCCCUGCCGUUAAACCCCCAACUUUCCAAGGUUGACCUCAGAUCAGGUAGGAAUACCCGCUGAACUUAAGCAUAUCAAUAAGCGGAGGA
rnacentral:misc_RNA from 1 species